UACGGGGGGUGCGAGCGUUAAUCGGAAUUACUGGGCGUAAAGGGCACGCAGGCGGUUUUUUAAGUGAGGUGUGAAAUCCCCGGGCUUAACCUGGGAAUUGCAUUUCAUACUGGGAGUCUUGAGUACUUUAGGGGGGGGUAGAAUUCCAGGUGUAGCGGUGAAAUGCGUAGAGAUGUGGAGGAAUACCGGUGGCGAAGGCGGCCCCCUGG
rnacentral:rRNA from 1 species